GGAGUGCACAUAUACCUCUUUUGGAUCCUGAUUUCAGUUGCUUUGACUCCACAUGCAGAAGUGAGAAUGCUGGCAUGGCGGGGGUCUUUGGACCUUGGCCUCCAGGCAGACUGCUCAGAGAAGGGAAGAGGACAGACUACAAGGCAGAGCCUCUGAGCAGACGCAAGAAAGGCCCUGGGAGACUGGAGCCAUGCCUAACACCAGCCCCUGCCCACAUUCCCCGUCGGAUGGGGCUUGUGCUGGGGUCUGCCUGGAUCGCCUGCUCAUCCACGAGGCAGGGAAGAAGCAGCACGCGGCUCCUCUCCCACUCAGGACGUGGGCUGUACACUGCACUUCUUUGGGCUUCAGCUUCUGCAUCGGUAAAGCACACCGAGGGACAUUCAUACUUCACCAGAUUCUUGAGUGAUUUAAAUAACCCCCUACAAACAAGCGCUUAGAACAGAGCCUGCAAAUACCAAACCCUCACUAUUUAUCUGUUGUUUUCACCAUUUAAUAAACUAAUCCCCGAC
ensembl:lncRNA